rnacentral:rRNA from 1 species
AGAGUUUGAUCCUGGCUCAGGAUGAACGCUAGCGGCAGGCCUAAUACAUGCAAGUCGAGGGGUAAGGCUCUUUCGGGAGUACACGACCGGCGCACGGGUGCGUAACGCGUAUGCAACCUACCCACAACUGGGGAAUAGCCCGGAGAAAUCCGGAUUAAUACCCCAUAAUGCAGUGGUUCCGCAUGGAACUAUUUGCUAAAGAUUUAUUGGUUGUGGAUGGGCAUGCGUCUGAUUAGUUAGUUGGUGAGGUAAAAGCUCACCAAGACGAUGAUCAGUAGGGGGUCUGAGAGGAUGAUCCCCCACACUGGUACUGAGAUACGGACCAGACUCCUACGGGAGGCAGCAGUAGGGAAUAUUGGUCAAUGGACGAAAGUCUGAACCAGCCAUGCCGCGUGCAGGAUGACGGCCUUCUGGGUUGUAAACUGCUUUUAUCAGGGAAGAAAAGGGCACUGCGGUGCACAUUGACGGUACCUGAAGAAUAAGCACCGCUAACU